AAGUCGUAACAAGGUCUCCGUUGGUGAACCAGCGGAGGGAUCAUUACUGAGUCACGUGCUCAAACAACCCUUCUGUGGACCGAAAUUUAACCGUUGCCUCGGCGGGCGGUCCCUCGCCAAAACCCCACGUGGUGUAGGCAGGGGACCAGACAGUCCGGUACGCCUAAGGCGUCCGGCGCCAGCCGCUGGCCCUAAACAAUUAAACUCUAGUAACCUUACCUUCUGAGUUUUAAUACAAAAAAAAUAAGUCAAAACUUUCAACAACGGAUCUCUUGGCUCUG
rnacentral:misc_RNA from 1 species